rnacentral:rRNA from 1 species
UACAGAGGUCUCAAGCGUUGUUCGGAUUCAUUGGGCGUAAAGGGUGCGUAGGCGGGUAAGUAAGUCCGUGGUGAAAUCUCUGAGCUUAACUCAGAAACUGCCGUGGAUACUAUUUGCCUUGAAUAUUGUGGAGGUGAGCGGAAUAUGUCAUGUAGCGGUGAAAUGCUUAGAUAUGACAUAGAACACCAAUUGCGAAGGCAGCUCACUACUCAAUCAUUGACGCUGAGGCACGAAAGCGUGGGGAUCAAACAGG